GCCUCUUUCUCCAUUUCAAGGCUCUCUCUUUCCUUCUCCACUUGUUCAGCUACCACUUCUUUCUUUUCCUCCAGACCCACCGCCCUCUCUUUCUCUUCCCUUCCCUUCAAAUCCCUCCGCCCCAUCUCCCCAAAACCCCUCCGAUUUUCCUCUUCUCCCACCUCCAAAUCCACCAUCUCCGCCACCAUUUCCGUCGGCGACAACCUUCCCGACUCCACAUUUUCCUACUUGGACCCCGCCGGCGAGCUCCAAACCAUCACUGUUUCCGACCUCACCAAGGGCAAGAAAGCCGUCUUCUUCGCCGUUCCCGGUGCUUUCACCCCUACUUGCUCUCAGAAGCACCUUCCCGGUUUCGU
rnacentral:misc_RNA from 1 species